GGGAGCAACUUCCUGUCCACGGGCUGAGAGAAGGGUGAUCCCGGCCCAGGCCGGAGAACAAUGGCUCGGAGGGCGCAGGCUGCCGGGCCUCCGCCCCCUGCGUGCUGAGGGCUGUCUGCGCUUUCUGGCGGCCCCACCCCCGGCUUUCUGAGCUCUGCGAGGUUGCUGAAAAAGAUGAGACUGGAGAAGACAACAGGAGCCAAAUCAUGGGUCAUCUAUGCCCUGGUGAGGUACUGACCUAAGGGCCAAGAUACAAAGUCAAGUGAGAGACAGAGUAUAUCUUAAAGGAGCAGAUUAUCUAAUAGGGAAGAGAGAUUAUGACACUGGAUGUGAACUCAAAUCCCCUUAACUCAGAAAGUUACUGUUCAAACCUCCAGAAAAACGCUGGACAAAAUCCUCAUCAAUAAAGAGAGGCAGAAACCAUUUACUUCACAAUUUUGCCAAGGCGGAGGACAGCAGCGAGCACAGGCACGGGCGAUGGUGGUGGCAGCGGCAUGGAGCUCUGAGGUUCUUCCUAGUUCUCUAGAGAAGUGUCCGUCUUUGAUGUGGCAGCGGC